rnacentral:rRNA from 1 species
AUUGAACGCUGGCGGCAGGCCUAACACAUGCAAGUCGAGCGGAGCGGCGGACGGGUGAGUAAUGCCUAGGAAUAUGACUGGUCGUGGGGGAUAACGUACGGAAACGGGCGCGAAUACCGCAUACUAUCAGAUGAGCCUAGGGCGGAUUAGCUAUGUGGUGGGGUAAAGGCGUACCAAGGCGACGUUCCGUAACUGGUCUGAGAGGAUGAUCAGUCACACUGGAACUGAUACACGGUCCAGACGCCUACGGGAGGCAGCAGUGGGGAAUAUUGGACAAUGGGCGAAAGCCUGAUUCAGCCAUGCCGCGUGUGUGAAGAAGGUCUUCGGAUUGUAAAGCACUUUAAGUUGGGAGGCGUUACCAACAGAAUAAGCACCGGCUAACUUCGUGCCAGCAGCCGCGGUAAUAC